rnacentral:tRNA from 2 species
GGGCAAUUAGCUCAGCUGGUUAGAGCGUCACAUUGACAUUGUGAAGGUCACUGGUUCGAAUCCAGUAUUGCCCACCA